rnacentral:rRNA from 1 species
UGUAGGUAUCUACCCUGUGGCCUGGAAUAACACGAGGAAACUUGUGCUAAUACCGGAUAAGUCUUUACGGAGAAAGCUUUAUGCACCACUGGAUGAGCCUGCACUUGAUUAGUUUGUUGGUGGGGUAAUGGCUUACCAAGACUGUGAUCAAUAGCUGAUUUGAGAGGAUGAUCAGCCACAUUGGGACUGAGACACGGCCCAAACUCCUACGGGAGGCAGCAGUGGGGAAUCUUGCACAAUGGAGGAAACUCUGAUGCAGCGAUGCCGCGUGAGUGAAGAAGGCCCUUGGGUUGUAAAGCUCUUUCGUCGGGGAAGAAAAUGACUGUACCCGAAUAAGAAGGUCCGGC